rnacentral:rRNA from 1 species
AUUGAACGCUGGCGGCAGGCCUAACACAUGCAAGUCGAACGGUAACAGGAAGAAUCUUGCUUCUUUGCUGCCGAGUGGCGGACGGGUGAGUAAUGUCUGGGAAACUGCCUGAUGGAGGGGGAUAACUACUGGAAACGGUAGCUAAUACCGCAUAACGUCGCAAGACCAAAGAGGGGGACCUUCGGGCCUUUUGCCAUCGGAUGUGCCCCGAUGGGAUUAGCUAGUAGGUGGGGUAACGGCUCACCUAGGCGACGAUCCCUAGCUGGUCUGAGAGGAUGACCAGCCACACGGGAACGGGGACACGGACCAGACUCCUACGGGAGGCAGCAGUGGGGAAUAUUGCACAAGGGGCGCAAGCCUGAUGCAGCCAUGCCGCGUGUAUGAAGAAGGCCUUCGGGUUGUAAAGUACUUUCAGCGGGGAGGAAGGGAGUAAAGUUAAUACCUUUGCUCAUUGACGUUACCCGCAGAAGAAGCACCGGCUAACUCCGG